rnacentral:rRNA from 1 species
CAGUCGCCGCGGGAACACGUAGGGUGCGAGCGUUAAUCGGAAUUACUGGGCGUAAAGCGUGCGCAGGCGGUUUGUUAAGACAGAUGUGAAAUCCCCGGGCUCAACCUGGGAACUGCAUUUGUGACUGGCAAGCUAGAGUGUGGCAGAGGGGGGUGGAAUUCCGCGUGUAGCGGUGAAAUGCGUAGAUAUCGGAAGGAACACCAGUGGCGAAGGCGGCUACCUGGACAAAGACUGACGCUCAGGUGCGAAAGCGUGGGGAGCAAACAGGAUUAGAUACCCGAGUAGUCCCUGUCUCUUAUAC